GCCUCCCGGGGUUCAAGCGAUUCUCCUGCCUCAACCUCCCAAGUAGCUGGGAUUACAGUUCCGUGUCACAAAGGAGUACUUGCCCCACGUGGCGCGCCUCUGUCUGAUCAGCACUUUCCUGGAGGACGGCAUCCACAUGUGGUUCCAGUGGAGCGGGCAGCAUGACUACAUCGACACCACCUGGAACUGUGGCUACCUGCUGGCCUGGUCCUUCAUCUUCCUCAACUUGCUGGGACAGCUGACUGGCUGCAGCCUGGUGUUGAACAGGAACUUCGUGCAGUAUGCCUGCUUUGGGCUCUUUGGAAUCAGCUCUGCAGGUACACGGGUGUGCGGUUGGGGCUCCCUUCUCUUUGCUCUGGUGGAGCAGAGCUUCUGAAAAUACAUCCUUGAGGGUUCAGUGUCACUCCCUCUUCAGCCCUCUCCACGUCUCUGACUGCCUGGAGCUCCUUUCUCUUCUGGGGAAGUCGUGAGCCCAAGCAGGGCUGUAGAGGUGGGUCAUUAGGUACGGGGACCUCUUUUGCCCCAUUCCUGUGAUAAUUGUGACAGGGGAAGUCCUGAGAUUGGCUGGGUGAGGAUGCUGUCUUGUUAUCAUGUUGCUUCAUAAAGAAGAAUACCUGGUUAUUCCGAAUGAAAUCCUGGGAACAGAAUAUCUGAAUCCACAUCCGUGGUCUCAAUCACUUUGUUCUCCGGAAUAUCACAGCACAUUUCUUGAGAAAUGCAGAACCACAUUUUUGAGCCUUGGUCUGUGCUAGGUCUUCUGUGUAGGUUUUGUGUGUUUUAGACUGCAGCUGAAAUUGGAGAGACAUUGCUUAAGGCUAUUAUGAAUUCUGUGAAAUGCCUUUGGAAAGGCUGAGACUUAGGUCUCUCUUUUUUCCCCCCAGACAAUUGCCUUCAGCAUUUUAUGGGACUUGAGGUAUUUGAUGAGGCGUGGGACUCAGGGUCUCAGCGGAGGACGUGGCUGCCCACGGGGACCAGGCUGGUCAACACUGAAGCUGUGACUUGGUUCUGCGUGUGUUCAGGUAGUCCAUCUCUGUCAAGUUGUAAAGACACCUCUGUCUCUUGAGCUAUGUAAGGUUUUACAUGGAUGUAACUGCAGCGUCUGAGGUCCUGUGCGCAUGCCUGCCUGGUCCUGCUUCACAGAUUGCUGGGUUUGGAGAAAGGGAAGUAAGGGCCUUCCUAUAUGCGCACCAAGGUCUCCCUGCACCUGGUCUGGCAGGCAGGCCAGAUCCUGGUGAGGCUUUCCUUCAGCGUGCAUAUCUGUUCCUCAGGAACCUGGCCCUGGGAGGAGGCCUGUUGCUGCUCCUAGCAGAAUCUCAUUCUGAAGGGAAGAGCAUGUUCGCAGGCGUCCCCACCAUGCGUGAGAGAGCUCCCCCAAACAGUACAUGCAGCUCGGAGGCAGGAUCUUGCUGGUUCUGAUGUUCAUGACCCUCCUUGACUUUGAUGCCAGCUUCUUUUCUGUAAGUAUUCCUGCUUGUCUGAAUGGGUCUGGUUUUCUGUCCUACUAGAAGGAAUGCUGUGCUUCCCCCAUCCCCUCCCUGUUCACCCCUCCCUGGUUGGGUACUAACCACAGCCUGAGGGAGCUGCUCAAAUGGAGCAAAUCUUUUGAUCCCAUUAAAACAGACCAAAAAAUCAUCAAUCCCUUGUGUGUCAAGCCUUCUUUCCAGCAAGUGAAGGCCAGAGCCUCUAACCUAGGUGGAGUGUGCUUGGCCCUUGGUCGGCCAAGGCUCUCCACCCAAGCUCUUCUUAUAUCUUGGAAGAUGGUGAUAGGGGAACUCCUCCUUUCAGUUACAAAGAACGUUGGCAAAUAGCCUAUUCCUGGUUUUCCUCUUCAAGUAAUACAAAUCCUUAGCAUCAGUCAUGUAAUGACUGGCAACCUGUGGCUACCUGGCUUAUCUGUGCAGGGGUCCUGUGCUGCAUUCGUAGUCACUUAAACUGCCAGGCACAAGUUCAGGAUUGUUCUUUGCAAAUCAGUCAGUGAAUCUUCUGUAGAAAUAGAAUUCUGGAGAUCCUACUGAAGACACUCCUGUGCUUGACCUCCAUUUCAUGUUAGAACACAGCUUGACUAGCAUGUUAACUGAAUCACAUGUUUCCAUAACUGUCAGAGGAUGGAUGGAUAUUCCAGGAAGCAGAUCCUCAGAUGGAGGUGAGCCUCAGGAAGCUAACCAGGGUUCCAUACUUGUGAGAAA